UGUGUGUUAUGGGGCUAUAAUGCAAAAAGACCAAGGUCUUCAAAUGACUACAUAAAGCAGAUGCCCUUGGUGUUAUCCAGAGGUCUGAGCUGUUGCAUCUUGAUCUCCAGGAGUUGGUUCCCUCGGGCCUAGGUCUUGUUUUCCAGGUCUGUCUCCAUGCAUGGCCUCUGCUCUGGGUCUCUUCCUGCCAAACUGCAAGAUCUUUAUCAUCAAAGUAUCCUGGGGCCAGGUAUCAUAUUUACCCAGGAAAAGCGCAACACAUGGUCAUGACAUUAUAGUAAAGAGUCUUGAAUUCAGAUGGAGGAGGAGAAAGAAACCUGUCCUGGGAGUCAAGAUUCCCAAAGUGCACCUUCAUCUCAAUUAAGAGGCAUGUUAGCUCUGCUGUAGGUAUAGUGUUUUCAGUGACGGGACAGGCAUGGAGGAAGAUAAUCAAAGUCCUCUUAUGUGACAUGGCAAGGAGAUUAGAGUGAAAGAGAACCAGGAAGAUGAGACUCUAAAGACAGAGAGGAUGGACAUAUGAAGAGAAGUUGAAGCUCAGGACCUGGUAGAGAGCCAUGGGGUUUAACCUAAGGUAUGAAUGAAU
rnacentral:lncRNA from 10 species